GUGGGGAAUAUUGGACAAUGGGCGAAAGCCUGAUCCAGCCAUGCCGCGUGUGUGAAGAAGGUCUUCGGAUUGUAAAGCACUUUAAGUUGGGAGGAAGGGCAGUAAGUUAAUACCUUGCUGUUUUGACGUUACCGACAGAAUAAGCACCGGCUAACUUCGUGCCAGCAGCCGCGGUAAUACGAAGGGUGCAAGCGUUAAUCGGAAUUACUGGGCGUAAAGCGCGCGUAGGUGGUUUUGUAAGUUGGAGGUGAAAUCCCCGGGCUCAACCUGGGAACUGCCUCCAAAACUGCAUGACUAGAGUACGGUAGAGGGUAGUGGAAUUUCCUGUGUAGCGGUAAAAUGCGUAGAUAUAGGAAGGAACACCAGUGGCGAAGGCGACUACCUGGACUGAUACUGACACUGAGGUGCGAAAGCGUGGGGAGCAAACAGGAUUAGAAACCCCGGUAGUCC
rnacentral:rRNA from 1 species